CACGUAGGCACCAAGCGUUGUCCGGAUUUAUUGGGCGUAAAGAGCUCGUAGGCGGUUCGGUAAGUCGGGUGUGAAAACUUUGGGCUUAACCCAAAGCGUGCAUCCGAUACUGCUGUGACUUGAGUUCGGUAGGGGAGUGGGGAAUUCCUAGUGUAGCGGUGAAAUGCGCAGAUAUUAGGAGGAACACCGGUGGCGAAGGCGCCACUCUGGGUCGAAACUGACGCUGAGGCGCGAAAGCCAGGGGAGCGAACGGG
rnacentral:rRNA from 1 species